GCGCAGCAGUCGCGAAACCUCCGCAAUACACGAAAGUGUGACGGGGCCAUCCCGAGUGCCGUCCGCUGAGGACGGCUUUUCCCCAGUGUACACAGCUGGGGGAAUAAGGAGAGGGCAAGCCUGGUGUCAGCCGCCGCGGUAAUACCAGCUCUCCGAGUGGUGGGGACGCUUAUUGGGCCUAAAGCAUCCGUAGCCGGCUGGGCAAGUCCUCCGUUAAAUCCAACGAUUCAAUCGUUGGGCUGCGGGGGAUACUGUCCAGCUUGGGGGCGGGAGAGGCCGACGGUAUUCCCGGGGUAGGGAUGAAAAUCCUAUAAUCCCGGGAGGACCACCAGUGGCGAAGGCUGUCGGCUAGAACGCGCCCGACGGUGAGGGAUGAAAGCUGGGGGGAGCGAACCGGAUUAGAUA
rnacentral:rRNA from 1 species